AAUCAUCCGUUCUACGUGUGCAGCAAGAAUGGGGUGACAUGCUUCUUUCUUUGGAUCGAUGCUCUGCCCAAGACUCUGAUGAAUGAACUGCAAGAAGAGCAUGAAGAAUGGUUGUGCAUGCUGCCACAAACGGCAGUGGCCGCAGCACGAGCUCCAGAAGAAGAGAUGAAGGGCGAAGCACGCAUUGACAGAGAGCUAGCUGUUGAGCUCGGGAUGUUGAAGAAGAAGGUUAGGAAGCUUGAAGAUCAAGCACUACCAAUACCCAUUUAUAAAUACUUUGGGGCAUUUGUAGAUAUGGUAAUCGCACUGGUUGUAAUGUUGAAAAUGUAUGGAAAGUCAUGA
rnacentral:rRNA from 1 species